rnacentral:rRNA from 2 species
UGGGGAAUAUUGCGCAAUGGGGGCAACCCUGACGCAGCAACGCCGCGUGCGGGACGACGGCCUUCGGGUUGUAAACCGCUUUCAGCAGGGAAGAUAGUGACGGUACCUGCACAAGAAGCCCCGGCUAACUACGUGCCAGCAGCCGCGGUAAUACGUAGGGGGCGAGCGUUAUCCGGAUUCAUUGGGCGUAAAGCGCGCGCAGGCGGCUCUUCAAGCGGAACCUCUAACCCCGGGGCUCAACCUCGGGCCGGGUUCCGAACUGGAGGGCUCGAGUGCGGUAGAGGCAGGCGGAAUUCCCGGUGUAGCGGUGGAAUGCGCAGAUAUCGGGAAGAACACCGAUGGCGAAGGCAGCCUGCUGGGCCGGCACUGACGCUGAGGCGCGAAAGCUAGGGGAGCGAACAGG